UGCUUAGUACAUAGCACAUUAAAUCCUUCUACUGUAUAGUCUUCGUAGCAUGUGUGAAUAACAAGUCGACAGAUUUUUAGGAGACCUUCACGAUCAUCUUCAUGAUAAUAAGCUGACCCAUUUUCAUACCUGAAAAGCCUGCAGAGCCAGAGAGUAGUAUCAGAAAGGAUCCUUGUUGUGAGCUUCCUCAGUCUUUCCUUGUCCAGUACUGAUAUAUAGGCAGCCAAACUAUGUCCCAGUAGAGCCAUGUGACCCUGUUCACCAACAUUUUGAAGUCGGUAGGCUUGUGAAGACUCCUCUUCCUCUUCACCAUGCAUUAGGUUCUGAACUAACUGAAGUAUGCUCACCAUAUCCUGGCCGCUGCCUUGCAACGGUCCAGGAAUAUCCUUCCGUGCAUACUUCUUUUCAUUUUCCU
rnacentral:lncRNA from 1 species